AUUGAACGCUGGCGGCAGGCCUAACACAUGCAAGUCGAACGAACCCUUCGGGGUUAGUGGCGGACGGGUGAGUAACACGUGGGAACGUGCCUUUAGGUUCGGAAUAACUCAGGGAAACUUGUGCUAAUACCGAAUGUGCCCUUCGGGGGAAAGAUUUAUCGCCUUUAGAGCGGCCCGCGUCUGAUCAGCUAGUUGGUGAGGUAAUGGCUCACCAAGGCUACGAUCAGUAGCUGGUCUGUGAGGAUGACCAGCCACAUUGGGACUGAGACAAGGCCCAAACUCCUACGGGAGGCAGCAGUGGGGAAUCUUGCGCAAUGGGCGAAAGCCUGACGCAGCCAUGCCGCGUGGAUGAUGAAGGUCUUAGGAUUGUAAAAUCCUUUCACCGGUGAAGAUAAUGACUGUAGCCGGAGAAGAAGCCCCGGCUAACUUCGUGCCAGCAGCCGCCGUAA
rnacentral:rRNA from 1 species